rnacentral:rRNA from 1 species
AAAUUGAAGAGUUUGAUCAUGGCUCAGAUUGAACGCUGGCGGCAGGCCUAACACAUGCAAGUCGAACGGUAACAGGAAGCAGCUUGCUGCUUCGCUGACGAGUGGCGGACGGGUGAGUAAUGUCUGGGAAACUGCCUGAUGGAGGGGGAUAACUACUGGAAACGGUAGCUAAUACCGCAUAAUGUCGCAAGACCAAAGAGGGGGACCUUCGGGCCUCUUACCAUCGGAUGUGCCCAGAUGGGAUUAGCUUGUUGGUGGGGUAACGGCUCACCAAGGCGACGAUCCCUAGCUGGUCUGAGAGGAUGACCAGCCACACUGGAACUGAGACACGGUCCAGACUCCUACGGGAGGCAGCAGUGGGGAAUAUUGCACAAUGGGCGCAAGCCUGAUGCAGCCAUGCCGCGUGUAUGAAGAAGGCCUUCGGGUUGUAAAGUACUUUCAGCGGGGAGGAAGGGAGUAAAGUUAAUACCUUUGCUCAUUGACGUUAUCCGCAGAAGAAGCACCGGCUAACUCCGUGCCAGCAGCCGCGGUAAUACGGAGGGUGCAAGCGUUAAUCGGAAUUACUGGGCGUAAAGCGCACGCAGGCGGUUUGUUAAGUCAGAUGUGAAAUCCCCGGGCUCAACCUGGGAACUGCAUCUGAUACUGGCAAGCUUGAGUCUCGUAGAGGGGGGUAGAAUUCCAGGUGUAGCGGUGAAAUGCGUAGAGAUCUGGAGGAAUACCGGUGGCGAAGGCGGCCCCCUGGACGAAGACUGACGCUCAGGUGCGAAAGCGUGGGGAGCAAACAGGAUUAGAUACCCUGGUAGUCCACGCCGUAAACGAUGUCGACUUGGAGGUUGUGCCCUUGAGGCAUGGCUUCCGGAGCUAACGCGUUAAGUCGACCGCCUGGGGAGUACGGCCGCAAGGUUAAAACUCAAAUGAAUUGACGGGGGCCCGCACAAGCGGUGGAGCAUGUGGUUUAAUUCGAUGCAACGCGAAGAACCUUACCUGGUCUUGACAUCCACGGAAGUUUUCAGAGAUGAGAAUGUGCCUUCGGGAACCGUGAGACAGGUGCUGCAUGGCUGUCGUCAGCUCGUGUUGUGAAAUGUUGGGUUAAGUCCCGCAACGAGCGCAACCCUUAUCCUUUGUUGCCAGCGGUCCGGCCGGGAACUCAAAGGAGACUGCCAGUGAUAAACUGGAGGAAGGUGGGGAUGACGUCAAGUCAUCAUGGCCCUUACGACCAGGGCUACACACGUGCUACAAUGGCGCAUACAAAGAGAAGCGACCUCGCGAGAGCAAGCGGACCUCAUAAAGUGCGUCGUAGUCCGGAUUGGAGUCUGCAACUCGACUCCAUGAAGUCGGAAUCGCUAGUAAUCGUGGAUCAGAAUGCCACGGUGAAUACGUUCCCGGGCCUUGUACACACCGCCCGUCACACCAUGGGAGUGGGUUGCAAAAGAAGUAGGUAGCUUAACCUUCGGGAGGGCGCUUACCACUUUGUGAUUCAUGACUGGGGUGAAGUCGUAACAAGGUAACCGUAGGGGAACCUGCGGUUGGAUCACCUCCUUA